rnacentral:rRNA from 1 species
GUGGGGAAUCUUGCGCAAUGGGCGAAAGCCUGACGCAGCCAUGCCGCGUGCAGGAAGAAGGCGCUACGCGUUGUAAACUGCUUUUAACCGGGAAGAAACCCCAGGACGUGUCCUGGGUUGACGGUACCGGAGGAAUAAGCACCGGCUAACUUCGUGCCAGCAGCCGCGGUAAUACGAAGGGUGCAAGCGUUAUCCGGAUUCAUUGGGUUUAAAGGGUGCGUAGGCGGAGCGUUAAGUCAGUGGUGAAAUCCUGCAGCUUAACUGUAGACUUGCCAUUGAUACUGGCGCUCUUGAGUGCGCUUGAAGUGGGCGGAAUGUGCCGUGUAGCGGUGAAAUGCUUAGAUAUGGCACAGAACACCAAUUGCGAAGGCAGCUCACUAAGGCGAUACUGACGCUGAGGCACGAAAGCGUGGGGAUCGAACAGGAUUAGAUACCCGUGUAGUCC